rnacentral:tRNA from 1 species
GAUCUCGUAGCUCAGUUGGUAGAGCAACGCCCUUUUAAGGCGUGGGUCGUCGGUUCAAGCCCGACCGGGAUUA